GGGAUCUGCCCGAUAGAGGGGGAUAACCACUGGAAACGGUGGCUAAUACCGCAUAACGUCGGGAGACCAAAGAGGGGGACCUUCGGGCCUCUCACUAUCGGAUGAACCCAGAUGGGAUUAGCUAGUAGGCGGGGUAAUGGCCCACCUAGGCGACGAUCCCUAGCUGGUCUGAGAGGAUGACCAGCCACACUGGAACUGAGACACGGUCCAGACUCCUACGGGAGGCAGCAGUGGGGAAUAUUGCA
rnacentral:rRNA from 1 species